rnacentral:lncRNA from 1 species
GUGGACACUCAGCCGGUCCCUUCCCACCUGCCUGGGACCCACCGCAUCUGUAUUUCCUGCGACUGUCUCUCUUCUUCUAAGCCCUGUUCAUGCCUGUUUCAUCUCUCAGCUACUCUGGCGAGAGGGGCCAGAGACCAUAUCCCUCUGGAACAAUUGCCUCUUUCUCUCCGAGUGUAAGUGAUACAUGAGGAGGGGGAGCUAUUUGGAACUAAUCAGCGGUGAUGUGGAACAGAACCUUUGGAGAAACUAAGAGCCCACGAGAGCUCAGGGCAUCCCGCUCUGGAUGACAGCUGGAUGGCUCUGCUUCUCAGUCUUUUUCUGGGGACAGUAGGUCACCCCUUCCUCCACCUCCCACUCCCUCUGGCAGGUGGCAUCUCUGCUCUCUGCCAGGCGUGUGCUUUACAUACUCAAGACGUGGACACAUUCCCUGCACCUUUGAGAAAAGUAUUAUUGUGCCCAUGUUUCAGAUGAGAAAAUGGAGGCCCAGAGAGGGCAAGUAACUCAUGCAAGCUCCCGCAACCACCAAACAGCAGAGACAAGAGAGAGAGAGAGGGACAAGACCUCUUGGGGCUGAACAAGGAGGCAGCACUGGGACAGGAUCAAGAAACUGCUUCUUACUAGCUAUUCGACCUCAGUACCAGGAUCAAACUCAGGACCCUUGCAAAGAACUUGAGGCACCACUGAGCUAAAUCCCCAGGAUGGGAAACAUUCUUCUUUUUUUUUUUUUGGUACCAGGGAUCGAACUCGGGUCCUUGCUGAACUCGGGUCCGGCAGGCGGUGAAACCACUGAGCUAAAUCCCCAGCCCAGGAAACAUCCUUAAAGGAAGGAGUAUGUCUUACUUCUUCCUGAUCUGCACACCCUUGCGUAUAACUCAAACAAGAUGGUAGGAGUUCUUGCAGUCAUCUUGGACCCUGAGUUGAAAGGAAAUUGGACUCCUGAAAACAGUGUGAAUUUUCCAUACCAGCCCUGGCCUGCUUACAUCCAGACUCACUUUAUGUGAAAGGAAAAUAAACUUCUAUGUUGCUUUAGCCAAGGUUAUUUUGGAGUUUUCUGUUAAAAUGCACUGUGCC